rnacentral:tRNA from 1 species
CAAGAAAUAGUUUAAGUAAAAUAUUAGUUUUGGGGACUAAUGAUAAAGGUAUUUCUUUUUUCUUGA